AGCGAACGCUGGCGGCAGGCUUAACACAUGCAAGUCGAGCGGGCACUUUCGGGUGUCAGCGGCGGACGGGUGAGUAACGCGUGGGAACGUGCCCUCUGGUUCGGAAUAACUCAGGGAAACUUGAGCUAAUACCGGAUACGCCCUUUUGGGAAAAGGCUUGCUGCCGGAGGAUCGGCCCGCGUCUGAUUAGCUAGUUGGUGAGGUAACGGCUCACCAAGGCGACGAUCAGUAGCUGGUCUGAGAGGAUGAUCAGCCACACUGGGACUGAGACACGGCCCAGACUCCUACGGGAGGCAGCAGUGGGGAAUAUUGGACAAUGGGCGCAAGCCUGAUCCAGCCAUGCCGCGUGAGUGAUGAAGGCCUUAGGGUUGUAAAGCUCUUUUAUCCGGGACGAUAAUGACGGUACCGGAGGAAUAAGCCCCGGCUAACUUCGUG
rnacentral:rRNA from 1 species